GUGGGGAAUCUUCCGCAAUGGACGAAAGUCUGACGGAGCGACGCCGCGUGAGUGAAGAAGGCCUUCGGGUCGUAAAGCUCUGUCAUCAGGGACGAACGGCCGGUGGAGUGGAAAGCCACCGGAUUGACGGUACCUGAGAAGGAAGCCACGGCUAACUACGUGCCAGCAGCCGCGGUAAUACGUAGGUGGCAAGCGUUGUCCGGAAUUAUUGGGCGUAAAGCGCGCGCAGGUGGGAUCUUAAGUCCAUUUUGAAAGUUCGGAGCUCAACUCCGUGAUGGGAUGGAAACUGGGAUUCUUGAGUACCGGAGAGGAAAGCGGAAUUCCCCGUGUAGCGGUGAAAUGCGUAGAUAUGGGGAGGAACACCAGUGGCGAAGGCGGCUUUCUGGACGGUGUCUGACACUGAGGCGCGAAAGCUAGGGGAGCGAACGGGAUUAGAUACCCGAGUAGUCC
rnacentral:rRNA from 1 species